CCAGGGUGAAAACUGCCCUUAGUCCCGCCUUACUGCCCCAUUGGUUAGAGUGACAGUCAGUCACACAGUGCAUGCAGCCAAUUGACACACCUGAGGCAAUUAUUUAGGCUUGCUCCAGCUUUCCCCAGUCAGAUGUGAGGGGGAGAGCUGGAGACAAAGGAGCUACAGAUCCGAGAAAUCCAGUGAGUUUGGAGCCUUGGAGCUGCCAUACUCUCAUCUUUUAUUGGAAUUGGCCAGGUGAUCCCUUUUUAGGGAAAAAGAUGGCGAGCUUCUGAAAACUGGCUGGAGCCAGGAGAGCCUUAAGAAUCACUCCACAGUGGACUGGUCUGUAUCAUUUCCCCCCUCCAUCUCACCACUCAGGCAUACACUCCAUUAUUCACUUCUUCAUCUGAAACAACUUGCGCUGGGACAUUCUUCAACUUAAAUAUCUGGAUAAUCCAACCAUGGAUUUCUGAAUGUGUGUCGGGUCAGACUCUGGACUGAUCAGCGGGGAAUUUAAGACCAGUUGUGCACAAACAAAAGGAUUACCACAGUACUGUGUAUAUAUAUUUUUUUGUAUUUAUUUUGGGUUCUAUGUAUGUUGUCUUGUAUUGUUUACUUUAAAUUUGUCUAAUACAUGGUAUUGAAGGCAGUUAUUUUGUGUUGUUUAUUGAUUACUGACAACGGCUCCAGUAGACGAAUUCUAGUCUUCUGAUUUUCUUCCAUCUGGUCCUUUUACACUUUAAAUAGUGCUACAUUAUUGGCGAGCUAGCCAGGAGCUGUUUUGAUCAGUAAUCAAUAGAAAACAGUUGAGCAAAGUUGCACAAAUAGGGUUCCUACUCACCAAUUCAAUUUCCAUUAUGGAGGUUUUUGAAACCCUUGGUCUAAAAAUCCCUAACACAGUAUUGAUUGAUGGAGUCCCAGAGAACCCCACUGAUGAACUUAUUGCUUUUCUUGAACAGUAUGGUGAUAUCAAGCAGAGACUUACCAUUGAUUCAUCUGAAUCAGAAUUUGAUCAAAUGUUGGUUGUUGAAUUUGAUUCUGGGUUGUCUUUAGCACGCUUAUCUCCAAUAUUACCAUAUACAUUUACAUCAAGUGUGGGUGAUAAAUUUCAUAUUGAAAGUUUAUCUGAGAUUUAUGCCUCAAAGGUUGGUGGUUUAAAGACAAACAAGUAUUUGGAUGAUUUACAAGAAAUUGCCAAAUUGUCUGGAAAAAAUUACACUCAAGUCCUCACAGAAGUGAUGUCCCAGAUACAGCAGUCUAUUGCAGAGUUCUGUCCUGUGGUGCUAAAGAAGGCAAAAGAGGAACAGUUUGCAGAUGAAGAUGGAGGGCAGCAGCCAUCAGCUCAUGCCACAACUCAACUCCCUUUUCCUCUGUCAUCCCUCUCACAGUCAGU